UAAAAAAAAAGAAAGUGUAAUAACAAAUUAUAUGGCUUAUAUUCAGUACAUAUUAUACAGUAUGUUGAUUUCUUUCAUUGUUCUGAAAUGUGUUAAUAUGCGAUUCAUAAUGCAUAUAUUCUCUAGUUUUAUUACAUAUAUCUCUAGGGAAAGAGAAAAAGGAUGAAUUCCUAACCAACAGCAACAAAGCGAAGCAGAGACAAAGAUAACACUAACAGAAAGAGAAUGCAAGAGAAGAAAGUGCUGGUUGUGUGAGCGAGCGCUCCGGAGGCAGAGUGAGCGACACUGCCCUGUUCGGUGACAGCACUCGCUGUGGGGCUUCUGUCCCCUCAGACGUUCAGGGGUGAAGGAAAGAGCGGAGAGGGGAAGGGGAGGAAUCACUCCAGGGGUGGCAGCGCUAGAGGAGGGGCGGCGAGGAGCAGUCAUUCCCAUGUGGAUCAGGCCCAUCAGCACAGUCAAAUCAUAAACCGUGAAGCCUCAGAGCGUGACUCCAUCCUAGCAAUAAUCCUGAAAAAUGGGAAAAAGCCAUCAGCUCCAGACUCACAAAAAGAGGGGGGGAAAAAGCAAGUUGUUAUUUUGCCCGAAGCGCAGCUAACUGCAUCAACAAAAAAAAUGGGAGGUUGUUCUGGAUCCACAGCGGUGCCCAGACAAACAUUCAUCAGCUCCCAUUCUCCAAGGACAGGAUGAUGCACUCGAAAGCCAAUUAGGUGCAUUGAGCAGAACGUAAACCCUGAGAAAAAGUGUGUUUACACCUCACCUUUGCUCAAGCAAUGUAAAUAGUCUCAGAUACUGGCCCACACCAGCCGACCCACAUGAUGAAUCGCACCUCGCCUUCAUCUUCAGCCAUUUUUAAUGUUCAGCCGGAUCUACUGAGUGUCCCACUCUCUUUCUCUUCCCUUCCCACUGAAAUAUUGCCUUUUCCCGCGCUGUAGCUCUCCCCUCAGAAUUGAACAAAUGAAGAGUCAGCAUUCGCAGGUUAAUACAAUAUCAAAGUAUGACAAAUUGUUCAAAGGCAGUCCGGGCCGAAACACAUCUGCAUAAAAGCUGACUGGCAGCAGACCGGCGGCUUUUUGAUACUAUAUCUUCAGGCUGACAAUCCCAGUGGACUUUAAUGCAUUUUUUUGCAUAGCAUUAUCACCGUUCUUUUGACGGUUUUUUUUUCAUGCGCACAGAUGAAAUGUGGCCCAAUUAUAGAGGUUUUUGUACAAAGGGAGCAUGUAACCUAGCAUGAACUUCAGUCUGUGGUUGUGUGAUAUUUCCUGCCCUGUAGCACGGAAGUAAAGAUGCAUAAGGAAUAACGUCAUCCAUGUGACAACAUAAAAUCCCCUAUGGGUUGAAAUGUUGAUGUAUUAAAGUAGAUAGAGAAGUUAGCAUAGCUGCAGGAAAAGAGGAUCGCUAUAGGGCUUCCCUUAACUUGAUGUACAUGGUGUCAUGUGGCACAUCUAACACCAUCAUUUCUCUGGGGUUGACACACGUGUCUUAUAACUGAUUUGUCACUAAUGUGAGCAGAUGUUUUGUUUUUGAUGCCCAGAUUUUUAAAUCAAUUUUUAAAAACAGGUUUA